AAGAAAGACAGUCAGCAAAGCCUGGGAGAGCUCCAGCUCCUCCCUCCCUGCUCUGCUCAGCUUCACUCUCCUCCUCGGUUCCCUUGGAGUACCUUGUGCCCCGGCAGUGCUGUCCCGGCCCUGGCAUCCUGAGGUCCUCCCGUGGUGAGGACUUAAGUGGACAGCAGGAGUGGGUGGAGAGAGGGAGGGAGAGUUUGCCCUGCAGGCUCUCUGGAUGCAGAAGCCAGACUCGCUGCAGAGGCAGCUGUGCUGUUCCCGGAGCCUGGCUUCAGGGGUGCAUCCGUCACUCAGGGUUCAUUCACCCAGGCAGGCUCCAAGUUCCUGGGGUGCACAAGGUGGGCACUGUCCCUUCUGGGUGCUGACAGCAGAGCCUGGCUCCCCUCCGCCACCAUGAGCGGCUGCUCCAAAAGAUGCAAGCUUGGGUUCGUGAAAUUUGCCCAGACCAUCUUUAAGCUCAUCACUGGGACCCUCAGCAAAGAUGGAGUCAAAAGUGGAACUUGGGCCCGCAGAGCCGGAUAGCUUGGGCAGUACGUGUGUGCACCUGCAGGCUGUGGAGACAGGUAUUUCCAUGGAGCU
rnacentral:sRNA from 1 species